CUGGCUCAGGACGAACGCUGGCGGCGUGCCUAAUACAUGCAAGUCGAGCGAACCACUUCGGUGGUUAGCGGCGGACGGGUGAGUAACACGUGGGCAACCUGCCUGUAAGACUGGGAUAACUUCGGGAAACCGGAGCUAAUACCGGAUAAUCCUUUUCCUCUCAUGAGGRAAAGCUGAAAGACGGUUUCGGCUGUCACUUACAGAUGGGCCCGCGGCGCAUUAGCUAGUUGGUGAGGUAACGGCUCACCAAGGCGACGAUGCGUAGCCGACCUGAGAGGGUGAUCGGCCACACUGGGACUGAGACACGGCCCAGACUCCUACGGGAGGCAGCAGUAGGGAAUCUUCCACAAUGGACGAAAGUCUGAUGGAGCAACGCCGCGUGAGCGAUGAAGGCCUUCGGGUCGUAAAGCUCUGU
rnacentral:rRNA from 1 species